UGGGAAGCUUUCUGGUCCAGGUAGAGACUC
rnacentral:piRNA from 1 species